GUAGAGUUAAACAUAAAUACUGUUUAUUUUUUAAAGAAUCUAAAUCCUAAAUUUGAUUUUGUAUAUAUUUGUAUAUUUUACAGUUUUUGAUUUUUAGAGCAUAUUUUAUCAGUAUGUAGCUUUUAAGUGCUAUUAAAGGACUUACAAUCAUAUAUUAUCUUAUUAUGUGGUAAAAAUUAUACAUGCUUUUCCGAUUUACAUUGUUCAUAUUCAUAUACACUGAUGUAUUGAUGAGCAACAGCAUAGUUGAAUACAACCAUCUUAUAUUACUUUAGCCUUUAGUAAAGAAUCAUUGGGUUUGA